rnacentral:rRNA from 1 species
GACGAACGCUGGCGGCGUGCCUAAUACAUGCAAGUAGAACGCUGAAGAGAGGAGCUUGCUCUUCUUGGAUGAGUUGCGAACGGGUGAGUAACGCGUAGGUAACCUGCCUUGUAGCGGGGGAUAACUAUUGGAAACGAUAGCUAAUACCGCAUAACAAUGGAUGACACAUGUCAUUUAUUUGAAAGGGGCAAUUGUUCGACUACAAGAUGGACCUGCGUUUUAUUAGCUAGUAGGUGAGGUAAUGGCUCACCUAGGCGACGAUACAUAGCCGACCUGAGAGGGUGAUCGGCCACACUGGGACUGAGACACGGCCCAGACUCCUACGGGAGGCAGCAGUAGGGAAUCUUCGGCAAUGGGGGCAACCCUGACCGAGCAACGCCGCGUGAGUGAAGAAGGUUUUCGGAUCGUAAAGCUCGGUUGUAAGUCAAGAACGGGUGUGAGAGUGGAAAGUUCACACUGUGUCGGUAGCUUACCAGAAAGGGACGGCUAACUACGUG